rnacentral:rRNA from 1 species
CCUACGGGAGGCAGCAGUGGGGAAUAUUGCGCAAUGGGCGAAAGCCUGACGCAGCGACGCAGCGUGAGGGAUGAAGGUCUUCGGAUCGUAAACCUCUGUCAGCAGGGAAGAACGGUCACUGUGCUAAUCAGCAGUGAAUUGACGGUACCUGCAAAGGAAGCACAGGCUAACUCCGUGCCACCAGCCGCGGUAAUACGGAGGGUGCGAGCGUUAAUCGGAAUUACCGGGCGUAAAGCGCUCGUAGGAGGUCUGUCAAGUCAAGGGUGAAAUCCCCGCGCUCAACGUGGGAACUGCCUUUGAAACUGGCAAAAUGGAGUGUGUGAGAGGAUAGGGGAAGUCCAGGUGUAGGAGUGAAAUCCGUAGAUAUCUGGAGGAACAUCAGUGGCGAAGGCGACUAUCUGGCACAUAACUGACGCUGAGGAGCGAAAGCGUGGGUAGCAAACAGGAUUAGAUACCCUAGUAGUC